rnacentral:rRNA from 1 species
UACAGAGGGGGCUAGCGUUAUUCGGAAUUAUUGGGCGUAAAGGGCGCGUAGGCGGCCAUGCGUGUCUUCCGUGAAAUCCCUCGGCUUAACUGAGGACGUGCGGAAGAAACUGCAAGGCUCGAGUCCGGGAGAGGGGGGUGGAAUUCCCAGUGUAGCGGUGAAAUGCGCAGAUAUCAGGAAGAACACCCGUGGCGAAGGCGGCUCUCUGGGACGGUACUGACGCUGAGACGCGAAAGCGUGGGGAGCGAACAGG